rnacentral:rRNA from 1 species
AUACGGAGGAUCCGAGCGUUAUCCGGAUUUAUUGGGUUUAAAGGGUGCGCAGGCGGCCAUUUAAGUCAGCGGUUAAAUCGUGGGGCUCAACCCCAUUCUGCCGUUGAUACUGGGUGGCUUGAUUGUGGUCGAGGUUGGCGGAAUUCGUUGUGUAGCGGUGAAAUGCAUAGAUAUGACGAAGAACACCGAUUGCGUAGGCAGCUGGCCAGACCGCAAAUGACGCUCAUGCACGAAAGUGCGGGGAUCGAGCAGGAUUAGAUACCCUGGUAGUCCGCACAGUAAACGAUGAAUACUUGUUUUCGGCGAUAGAAUGUCGGAGGCAAAGCGAAAGCGAUAAGUAUUCCACCUGGGGAGUACGCCGGCAACGGUGAAACUCAAAUGAAUUGACGGGG